AGGUGAUAGUGUUAUGAAAAUGAUUGGGAAAUCAGAAAGGGGACAUUUCAAGGUACAGCAUACGAAUGGACAGGUCAUGAGCUCUGGAUAGAAGCUGAUAUGCAACCUCUGACACUGGGCUCCCAUGCUGUUUCUUAUGUCACAAAUGAUGACAAUUGCCAGAAACUGUGACUUGCAGCAGCAAGAGACUCUGCAAUAUUUACUUUAAUUGCAUUCUGUAUUUUCAGAUAUAAUUUACAGUUUGAAAGUGUUGAAAAAUGAGUGUCCUGACAUGAGCUCUCAGUAUCCUGUCGCAAGCCACUGGGAACAGAAAAGUUUUUCUUUCAAAAUUCAACAAAAACAGUCCCUUACUGUGUGACAGAAGCAAGCUGCACCAAACCUGCCAAUGAUUCAGCAUGUUUUUCUAAAUUCAAACUGGUCCGCAGCCUAAAGUUUGCAGCAGGGAUUCAGACCCUGCAGGGAAACACCAGAGGCUCAAGCCUUUCUCCCAGCAUCCGUCAUGGUGCCAGGUAGGGAACCAAAUGAGUAGCAAAACACUCUCUGUACUAAAAUAGCAUAACAAAUGGCUUCAGGGCACACAGAGAGAGGCCAAUCCACAGUAUUAAUUAGCCUGAAAGUAAUUAGCAAAAUAUUGCUAAAAAAAUUGUAAGUGGCAUAAUUGAGAACUGGAUGAGUUUUUGAACUCAGCAAUAUGAAAACCCAUGUGCAGUAACUGUGAAUUUGAUGCACAUUGGGAGGUUUCAGUGACAAGAAGACUAGUUUUGACUGGAAGAGAGAAACAUAAUAUAAAAUAUAAUUUGCUGUAGAAAUUAAAGGCUCUGGAUGUAAUGUAAAUUCUUCCAUCAAAUUCAGAUCUACGCAAGACAGAGAAGGAAGGGACAUUACUCUUUACUAGAAUUAGUCAUUUGAAUUGCAGUGAACAUUUUUGUAAAUUUAGUUGUUUUGGAGUGGAUCAUUCAUUUUUCAAAUGUCUUCAUUAUUCAAAUUUUUUUUGACAAAUAUUUAUGAGACUAGAUUUCAGCAUAUGGAUCAUUCAUGAAGAGCCUAUUCUUAGUUUUACUUCCCUUUACUUUUACUUUAUUUACGUACCACUUAAUAAAAACAUCGUAUGAGUCCCUAUCAUCAACCAUUUUUCUCAAAUGGUCUUAUUGCCUGUUUUGCAAACUCUCUAAAUGUCAAACAUUGUCCUUUUUUCUAUUUCUUUUAUGUUUAUAUUACUAGCAUAUGCAAUUUCAGUCUGGUAGUCUCUUGAGAAAUGGCUAUCUGUGGAAAAGUUGUCCAAACUGCACAGUGUAUUGCAACCAGUUUUUCAACAUAUUAAUUCAAUAUAAGUAAACAAUGAAACACCUAUUACAUCAAAUAAAUUAAUUUGACUUGUAACUCCUUACUGGGAAGUGCUUAGAAAGCUUCAUUCUUCCAGGCCCAAUGCUGAGUUAAGGUGGUAGUUCUUGUCAAAAGCAUAACAGGAUUUGUUCUGCUUUAUAGCUCCUGGAAUCCUUUGUGACUGCAUAUAAUAGUAAAUGGUUUCAGCCAAAUAUGACACUAAUUUUUUGAAACCUAAACUGAAAUAUGAUACAGCAACAAUACUUAGGAAGAAUCAUAUACCUUCUUUCAAGCAAUAGAGGCAUUUACUAGGUUCUUACAGAAAGUGAUUUCAUUUUCAGAGUUUUUGUCUGGGAAGUAGCAGAAUUCCUCAAGGCACAGCUGUUAGCUUUCCAUGUAAAACCUGGAAAGCUAUGAUGUACUCAAAUGCUUUGACAUUGUGUCACAUUGUAAAUGCUCAAACUAUGAGAUCUAAAACAAUAUUUGGACUGGAAUAUACUGAGAAAGAUAUUUAGAUAUAAGAGCUUGAUUUUUUUUCUAUUGAAAAGUAGAGAGGGUCUAUUUGUACAGUUUAUAUGUGGGGUUACAUUUGGGUUUGAGUACCUUAAUUAUUUGAACGUUGUGAAGUUUGGUUUAAACCUAACCUAAAAACAAGUCAAAUUAACUAUUUUUUCUAUGCAUGUAUAUUAUUUAUAUGAGAUUUAUCCACUCUUCCAUGAUAGAGAUUUUGUUUGCUCUUUUGUAAUUUUAAAGGAACAUGAUUUUUAAAUACAGUAGCCAGUCAGUAAUUAUAUGCAAUUUUAAGCUUUGGGAGGACAUUUUUUGAUGAAUAAAAGCCUUAACAUGUUUAUGUUAUCCAUGCUAAUGUACAAGGCAUCUACUUAACUCAACUACUGCCUACCACCUGUGACCAAACAAUGCCAAAACGGACACAACCAAGAAAUAAUAAUAAUAAUUUAAAA